rnacentral:rRNA from 1 species
AGCGAACGCUGGCGGCAGGCUUAACACAUGCAAGUCGAACGGGCAUAGCAAUAUGUCAGUGGCAGACGGGUGAGUAACGCGUGGGAACGUACCUUUUGGUUCGGAACAACACAGGGAAACUUGUGCUAAUACCGGAUAAGCCCUUACGGGGAAAGAUUUAUCGCCGAAAGAUCGGCCCGCGUCUGAUUAGCUAGUUGGUAGGGUAAUGGCCUACCAAGGCGACGAUCAGUAGCUGGUCUGAGAGGAUGAUCAGCCACAUUGGGACUGAGACACGGCCCAAACUCCUACGGGAAGCAGCAGUGGGGAAUAUUGGACAAUGGGCGAAAGCCUGAUCCAGCCAUGCCGCGUGAGUGAUGAAGGCCCUAGGGUUGUAAAGCUCUUUUGUGCGGGAAGAUAAUGACGGUACCGCAAGAAUAAGCCCCGGCUAACUUCGUG